rnacentral:lncRNA from 1 species
CAUGUUCUGUUUAAACCAAGCAGCUCUGCUCUCUGUUCAACUCUUACUCAUUGUCCAUGUUCAUGCAGUGUUGGGGAAAGGUCCAGAGGAUCUCAGGAAUACACUGGUGUCCAGAGGAGACUCCGUCAUACUCACCUGCAACAUAUCGAUAAAUAAUGGAACACAAAUCAGCUGGAACAAAGACAGAUUUUAUUUCUCUUAUUUAGUCUCAACAAAUCAAAAUGUUUCCAAUUUCACCUCAGACAGAUUCAGAAUAGACGUUAAUUUAACCACAACACUGAAUAUAUUUAAUGUUCAGCAUGAAGACGCUGGACUUUAUACAUGUAAUGUAACUGAUAUAGAUGGUGU